UAAAGAUUGCUUUUAUAGAUUUUAAAUUUGAUUAUGGUUUGUAAAUAGUUAAAAUAAUAUUAUUUAAGUUUAAUUUAUUUAGUGGGCAAUGUUAUUUUACCCCGGUAAUUAAUUGUUUGUAUAAUACUUGUUCCAGAAUAAUCGGCUAGGCUUGUAAAAUUUUAACUUUAUUUUUGGAUUAUUACAAAAUUGUUACUAUUAUUUAUAUAAUUUUAGGUUAAAUUUUAAUUAUUUUGUUUUGUAUUUUUGUAAUAAGAAAAUUUGAUAAAUGAAUUAGAUUAGUACCUAAUUAAUCAAAUUUUAAUAGUGCAGGAGUAAAGUUAUAUUUAAACUGAAAGAAUAUUGGCAGAUUUUCUAAAUUAUCUUUGGAGGUUGAGUAAUAAUUGAGAACCCUCAUUAACUACUAUUUUAUUAGGCUUAUGUAUGAUCGUUUAUUUUAUACUUAAGGUAUAUAAAUAAAAAUUUUUAAUUUUUAAAAAUAGAUAUAUAUUUAGUUUAUAAAAAAGUAAUAUUUGGCCUACAAUAUUUUAUUAUGUGGAUUUUAUAGUUGGUUAAUAAAUGAAAAUGUAAAAGACAGUAAAAAAAUUUUUAUGGUUUUUUGAAGAUUAUUUAGAGAUGGUACAAAUCAUCCAUCAAUUGCCUAUAGGGGAGUAAGUUGUAGUAAAGUAGAUUUAGGGGAACCUUAAUCUAAUAAU
rnacentral:ncRNA from 1 species